AACAAGGUCUCCGUUGGUGAACCAGCGGAGGGAUCAUUG
rnacentral:rRNA from 24 species